rnacentral:rRNA from 1 species
AUGGCGCCCACGCCCAACCUCCUCUUCGGCGCCGGCCCGGAGAACACGUCGGGCCAUGCCGUCGUGCCGGACCUCUCCGACGCGCUCGCGCAGGCGCGGCUGCGCCGGCAGGCGGCGUCCGGGCCGGGGAGGCAGCGGGCGGCCUCCCGCGGGGGCGGCGGCGGGGCGCCGCCCAGGACGACCCCGCAGCGCGGCCUCGGUGUGGCGGCUCUCGAGCGCCUGCGCUGCGGCGGCGAGGCGCCGCCCAGGAAGACCCUGCAUCGCGGCCUCAGCAUGGCGGAGCUCGAGCGCCUGUGCUGCGGCGUCGUCGACCCGCUGCACGACCUCAACACCGCCGCCAACCUGCAGGCGCAAGGCAACUCCGUCAUCGUGCAGCAGACGAUGAUGUGCUUGGCAGAUAGAGGAACACGGGCCCCUGCUGCCGCCAACGCCACCAACGCGUCAUACUACUCAAUCCAAUAUGCCGCCGCCGCCAUCACCAUGACCGCCGUUCGUAAGGAGACGGCCGGAGAAGGGUUCUCGGUGUCACCGGAGGGGAGGAAGGAGGUGCGGGAGAUCGAGUUCUUCCCGACGAGGAUCAGCAGCCACGAAGGCGGUUCCGACGAGUCCGAGCUGCGCAGGGCCUCGCCCUUGUCCUCCUCGCCGCCCGGCGGCGUCGGUGGCUCCCUGGACCUGUCCCUCAAACUCUAG